rnacentral:rRNA from 1 species
CCUACGGGGUGCAGCAGUGGGGGAUAUUGGACAAUGGGGGGAACCCUGAUCCAGCGACGCCGCGUGAGUGAAGAAGUAUUUCGGUAUGUAAAGCUCUGUCAGCAGGGAAGAAAGCAAUGACGGUACCUGACCAAGAAGCCCCGGCUAACUACGUGCCAGCAGCCGCGGUAAUACGUAGGGGGCAAGCGUUAUCCGGAAUUACUGGGUGUAAAGGGAGCGUAGACGGCUGUGCAAGUCUGGAGUGAAAGGCGGGGGCCCAACCCCGGGACUGCAGUGGAAACUGUUGAACUGGAGUACAGGAGAGGUAAGCGGAAUUCCUAGUGUAGCGGUGAAAUGCGUAGAUAUUAGGAGGAACACCAGGGGCGAAGGCGGCUUACUGGACUGUAACUGACGUUGAGGCUCGAAAGCGUGGGGAGCAAACAGGAUUAGAUACCCGAGUAGUC